rnacentral:rRNA from 1 species
UACGACUACAUAUCAGGCAUAUCAAUAAGCGGAGGAAAAGAAACUAACAAGGAUUCCCUUAGUAACGGCGAGUGAAGCGGGAAGAGCUCAAAUUUGAAAUCUUCAAGGUUCUACCUUGACGAAUUGUAGUUUAAAGAAGUGUUUUCUGUUAGAUGAGUAGCAAAAGUUCCUUGGAAUGGGACAUCAUAGAGGGUGAGAAUCCCGUAUUUGGUUAUUCAUUCUAGCUUUGUGAUACACUUUCAAAGAGUCGGAUUGUUUGGGAAUGCAGUCCAAAAUGGGUGGUAAAUUUCAUCUAAAGCUAAAUAUUGGCGAGAGACCCGAUAGCGAACAAGUACCGUGAGGGAAAGAUGAAAAGAACUUUGAAAAGAGAGUUAAACAGUACGUGAAAUUGUCAAAAGGGAAGCGUUUGACACCAGUGUUGUUUUUCCGAAAAUCAAUUACGAAUGGCUUGAUUUUGUGUUGUAUUGACCUUAUCAGCUUUCUUCACUUUUUUCGAGUCUUUCUUAAUGCACUUUUCGGUUAACAAGUCAACAUCAAUCUCUUUUGUUGUAAAAGAGUAUUCGGAAGGUGGCUUUCCUUUCGGAGAAAGUGUUUAUAGCCCUAUACUUCUACAAUCGGAGAGAUUGAGGUCUGCAGCGUAGAUCCUUCGGGGUUAGAUACACUUGUGCUAAGUUGUAGCUUUUCAUAGACAACUUGUUGACUAUGAUCAGUCAUGUAGGCUUACUCGCUUAGUGCUAUUUUACCUACGCUUAGGAUGUUGAGUAGCGACAUACGCAC